rnacentral:rRNA from 1 species
UACGAAGGGGGCUAGCGUUGUUCGGAUUUACUGGGCGUAAAGCGCACGUAGGCGGAUCGUUAAGUCGGGGGGUGAAAUCCUGGAGCUCAACUCCAGAACUGCCUUCGAUACUGGCGAUCUUGAGUCCGGAAGAGGUGAGUGGAACUCCUAGUGUAGAGGUGGAAUUCGUAGAUAUUAGGAAGAACACCAGUGGCGAAGGCGGCUCACUGGUCCGGUACUGACGCUGAGGUGCGAAAGCGUGGGGGAGCAAACAGG